rnacentral:tRNA from 1 species
CAUUAGAUAACUGAAAGCCAGUAUUGGUCUCUUAAAUCAUCUUAUGGUAAACUAGCAAUUACCUCUAAUGA